rnacentral:lncRNA from 1 species
AUGCUUCGUGCCUCUGAUUCUCCUGUUCUCCUACUAUCUCCCAUUCCUGUUGACAUGCUCUGGUCAAGUUGCUGUUCCGAGUAUAGACUGGAGUGUCUGAAGUAUCUGACAAACUCUCACCACAUUUCCGACAGAUGGUUUGUGAACAGUUUUCUUCACUAAUAUGCAACAUACUACUGAAUCAGCUUACAUAAAAACAGAAAGACUCAUCGCAUCUGCUACAAGAAGAAAUAUACAGUCAAGAAUCCAAAAAUUAAACUGAAAAGGUGGAAGCUAAAUCCAUUGUAAAAGAAAAGUAGAGAUGGUCAAGACUGACAGUCGGUGACUGGAAGUCCCAGGAUGAGAGUGUACAAAGCCUACAGAGAAACAGGUACACAUGGGGUGAGAAACAAUAGUUGACCCUCUCAUGCAGCAGAAAAGUUUUUUGUGCUAACAGUAAGUAUGCAGCUCUGGUAGAACUUGGCA